rnacentral:tRNA from 1 species
GAGGGUAGCUCAGUGGUAGAGAAUGUGGUUAACAUAUGCAAGGUCCUGGGUUCAAUCACCAGCAGCACA